rnacentral:ncRNA from 1 species
ACCUCGAACUCCCGGUCGUGUGUGUGUGUUUGUAUGGAACGUUGGCUGUGUGACAAUACUGUUCUGUAUAAUGACCGAUGUACUGCAGACGAGUAACUCAGAGUAUAUUCAAACUCUAUGUAACUAGUAUGCAUCGGUUGUGUACUGGAACAUAGUGUGUGGUCACACUCUGAACGUUUCUAACAAAUGUUGUUCCACUUAGAAUGAUUCAAACAAAGGUNGGGCGAAAGACUAAUCGAACCAUCUAGUUGCUGGUUCCUUCCGAAGUUUCCCUCAGGAUAGCUGGCAUUUGUUUGUAACAAUUUUAUCCGGUAGAGCGAAUGAUUAGAGGUGUUGGGAACGCAAUGUUCUCAGCCUAUUCUCAAACUUCGAAUGGGUAAGCAAGGCGUUUUGCUUUGAUUUUACGAUGAAAUCGCCCAAUUAGAAUGCAUAAAUGCCUAGUGGGCCAAUUUUGGUAAGCAGAACUGGCGAUGUGGAAUGAACCAAAAGUCAGGUUAAGGUGCCAGACAUUGGCGCUCAUGAAAUACCAGAAAAGGUGUUGGUCGAUAUAGACAGCAGGACGGUGGCCAUGGAAGUUGGAAUCCGCCAAGGAGUGUGUAACAACUCACCUGCCGAAUCGACUAGCCCUGAAAAUGGAUAGCGUUUGAGCGCCAGGCCCAUACCUGACCGUCUCAAUUACGCACUUUUUUCUUUUUUGAAAAAGGUGUAAUGAACGUUGAGACGGGUAGGAAGGUCGCGACAGUGUUGCUUUGAAGAGUUUUGAGCGUGAGCUCGCUCGGAGCCGCUGUUGGUGCAGAUCUUGGUGGUAGUAGCAAAUAUUCAAGUGAGAACCUUGAAGGCUGAAGUGGAGCAAGGUUCCAUGUGAACAGCAGUUGGACAUGGGUCAGUCGAUCCUAAGAAAACGGCGAAAGCUUGUUCGAAUUUGCGACAUGAAUUGUAAGACUGUGUGUGUUUAUUGUGUGUGCGUGUGCAGUUGUCGUAUGUUUUCGAAAGGGAAUCCGGUUGAUAUUCCGGAACCGAGUAACGGAGACAAAGAGUAGCGCUUUAAUCUCUCUGUGGGGUUGGCGUUCAACUCAAUCGCGCGGUAACGCAAGCGAACUCGGAAAAUGACCGUCGUGAGUUUCGAAAAGAGUUUUCUUUUCUUUUUAAGGGACGCAUUCCCUGGAACCGGGUUGUCCGGAGAUAGGGAUUCUGGUAUCCAUAAAACGCCGACUUUUUCACGGUGUUCGGAGCGCUCUCGUCGGUACGUGAAAAUCCGAGCGACGCCUGGUAAAUCUCGUACUUGGUCGUACUGAUAUCCGCAGCAGGUCUCCAAGGUGAAUAGCCUCUGGCC